GAUGAACGCUGGCGGCGUGCCUAAUACAUGCAAGUCGAGCGAACGGACGAGAAGCUUGCUUCUGUGAUGUUAGCGGCGGACGGGUGAGUAACACGUGGAUAACCUACCUAUAAGACUGGGAUAACUUCGGGAAACCGGAGCUAAUACCGGAUAAUAUUUUGAACCGCAUGGUUCAAAAGUGAAAGACGGUCUUGCUGUCACUUAUAGAUGGAUCCGCGCUGCAUUGGCUAGUUGGUAAGGUAACGGCUUACCAAGGCAACGAGGCAUAGCCGACCUGAGAGGGUGAUCGGCCACACUGGAACUGAGACACGGUCCAGACUCCUACGGGAGGCAGCAGUAGGGAAUCUUACGCAAUGGGCGAAAGCCUGACGGAGCAACGCCGCGUGAGUGAUGAAGGUCUUCGGAUCGUAAAACUCUGUUAUUAGGGAAGAACAUAUGUGUAAGUAACUGUGCACAUCUUGACGGUACCUAAUCAGAAAGCCACGGCUAACUACGUG
rnacentral:rRNA from 1 species